GUGGCAAAACCCCGCCCCUCACGGCCUUCCCGCUCUUCCAGUGCGCGUGCGUUGGCUGGGGAGGCGGAGGUGGGUGCCAUGGCAACGCGGGAGGUAACGGAGGGGAGGCCGCGUCUGUGGCGGCCCUCAGGGGAGACCGGCACCGGCACCCGGGACUCGCACCCGCCGCAGGCAGAGGGGAGGGCUCUGUCUUGUGGUGUUAGAGGACAUCUCGAGGACUUUGCUGAAAAGCUGAGAAUCCUGGAAUCUGGUAGAAUUUGUGGAUUACUUCAGGGGUGAUUGUCUGCAAAGAAGCCAUUUUAGGGUCUGUCUUCAGGGCUUGACGUGGAGUCCCUCUGCUCAGUAAAAGGAUAUAGCCAUGGUAAUGCAGGUUUGAUUCUUUUCAAGUGUAUUGAUACCGUUUUAAGGAGUUAAAUGGGGUUAAUAACCAAAAUGUUCCUUCUCAAGGCUGCAGGACAAUCUGACCUGCCCAAAUUCACGUUGUGUGCAAGUGUGCACCUGAUUCUGAUUUUUAGCUUUUCUUAUUGUUCUCAACAACAGGC
rnacentral:lncRNA from 1 species